rnacentral:rRNA from 1 species
CCAGACUCCUACGGGAGGCAGCAGUGGGGAAUAUUGGGCAAUGGGCGCAAGCCUGACCCAGCAACGCCGCGUGAAGGAAGAAGGCUUUCGGGUUGUAAACUUCUUUUGUCAGGGACGAAGCAAGUGACGGUACCUGACGAAUAAGCCACGGCUAACUACGUGCCAGCAGCCGCGGUAAUACGUAGGUGGCAAGCGUUAUCCGGAUUUACUGGGUGUAAAGGGCGUGUAGGCGGGGAAGCAAGUCAGAUGUGAAAACCACGGGCUCAACCUGUGGCCUGCAUUUGAAACUGUUUUUCUUGAGUGCUGGAGAGGCAAUCGGAAUUCCGUGUGUAGCGGUGAAAUGCGUAGAUAUCCGGAGGACCACCAGUGGCGCGGGCGGAUUGCUGGGCUGUCGCUGCCGCUGAGGCGCGUCAGCGUGGGGAGCAAACAGGAUUAGAUACCCGGGUAAC